GACGAACGCUGGCGGCGUGCUUAACACAUGCAAGUCGAACGGAAAGGCCCUGCUUUUGUGGGGUGCUCGAGUGGCGAACGGGUGAGUAACACGUGAGUAACCUGCCCUUGACGUUGUGAUAACUUCAGGAAACUGGGGCUAAUACCGGAUAGGAGCUCCUGCUGCAUGGUGGGGGUUGGAAAGUUUCGGCGGUUGGGGAUGGACUCGCGGCUUAUCAGCUUGUUGGUUGGGUAGUGGCUUACCAAGGCUUUGACGGGUAGCCGGCCUGAGAGGGUGACCGGCCACAUUGGGACUGAGAUACGGCCCAGACUCCUACGGGAGGCAGCAGUGGGGAAUAUUGCACAAUGGGCGGAAGCCUGAUGCAGAAACGCCGCGUGCGGGAUGACGGCCUUCGGGUUGUAAACCGCUUUCGCCUGUGACGAAGCGUGAGUGACGGUAAUGGGUAAAGAAGCACCGGCUAACUACGUG
rnacentral:rRNA from 1 species